GACUGGUCCAGAGGUAGCAAGUUAUCUCAGUUGAUUGUUCAUGGUCAGUUAUAGAUUAAACUCUUUGUUAUAUUUCCCCCCCAGCUCCUUCUCACUACUGCACUUGACUAGUUUUAG
rnacentral:Y_RNA from 1 species